rfam:Salmo salar isolate Sally breed double haploid chromosome ssa01, whole genome shotgun sequence.
UGGCUCAGUUGGUAGAGCAUGGUGCUUGCAAAGCCAGGGUUGUGGGUUCGAUUCCCAU